UACAGAGGGGGCAAGCGUUGUUCGGAAUUACUGGGCGUAAAGGGCGCGUAGGCGGCCUGCUAAGUCGAACGUGAAAUCCCUGGGCUCAACCCAGGAACUGCGUCCGAUACUGGUUGGCUUGAAUCCGGGAGAGGGAUGUGGAAUUCCAGGUGUAGCGGUGAAAUGCGUAAAUAUCUGGAGGAACACCGGUGGCGAAGGCGACAUCCUGGACCGGUAUUGACGCUGAGGCGCGAAAGCCAGGGGAGCAAACGGG
rnacentral:rRNA from 1 species